rnacentral:tRNA from 1 species
UGGUUCGGUUGGUAGAGCAUGGCACUUGCAAUGCCAGGAUUGUGGGUUCCAUUCCUAC